GGAUGAAAAUAAUGUCUCCUAAAUUUUCCUCGGAAAGAGAAUCCUACCACCGACUAUCCAAACAAUCCCUGCCCCCGAGGAAAGAAACCGCUACCCAUCUCCCGUGAGCCAGAGUGGAGUUAGGAGCAAGAGCAGCGCUGCAAUUGUGUGCGUGUAUCGCGCGGAGAAGAAACCAUGCUUAAACCUAACUUUCUCCUCUCUCUCUCACCCUCCCUCGUUCUGUAAGUUGUUCUCCUCUUCUUCCUCGCGCUUUUCUCUGACUGCAUGGACUGUCCGUCCCUUGAUAAUCAUUGGCGGCAGCAAAGUUGGUGGAUAGGCUUCGAAAAUGGUUCAGCCGAAAACGAAGAAGCACACAAAACCCAAGCUCAAGAAGCAACCUCCACCAUCGGGAAAGAAGAAUGGGAAGGCAGAUAACAAUGCUCAGUUCAGCAGUCAGUUAGACGCGCUUGGCUUAAAAAUAGUUCCAUUAGUUGCGGAUGGGAACUGCUUCUUUCGUGGUAUUGCGGAUCAGUUGGAAGGCAAUGAGGAAGAACAUGCAAAAUACCGGCAUAUGGUGGUCGAGUAUAUCAUGAAGCACCGUGAGGAAUUUGAGCCUUUCAUUGAGGAUGAUGUGCCAUUUGAUGAAUAUUGUCAAUCUAUGGGAAACGAUGGUACAUGGGCAGGUCACAUGGAAAUCCAAGCUGCUUCCCUUGUUUGUCAUAGCAACAUAUGUAUCCACCAUAGUAUGUCACCACGCUGGUAUAUAAAGAAUUUUCCAUGUCAUGGAAAUCGUAUGAUUCACCUGUCCUAUCAUGAUGGGGAGCAUUAUAAUAGCAUUCGGCUAAAAGAAGAUCCUUGUGAUGGGCCAGCUAAACCAAUCAUAAUUGAGGCUGACACUGUUCUUUCAGUGUCUAAUCAAACCAAAGUUUCAACGAAGAAUACUAAAGCUGCAAAUAGCACACGAACAACUGUUGAUCCAUCAUGUGUCAAAAUUGUUAUGAGUGGUAGCGGGUGUGGAGAUACCAAAAAAGUGGAACAGAUCUUACAAGAAGUGAAUGGAGAUGUUGAUGCAGCUAUUGAAUUUCUGAUAGCAGAGAGCAUUGAAGAAGCUGGAACUCAAACUGAUGCUAGAAAUUGUGAAAAUAAUUCUCAUGUCACCUCUGAGCAAUCUCAAGAAAUUGAUCAAGAUGCUGGCUGUGGGAGUGGCAGUCUGGCUGAUAGUACACCAAGGAAAGAUGAAAGAUUAAAUGAUAAUGCCCCAGACAAGGAAAAGAAAAUCCCAAGAAACAAGGUUUGUCCUUGUGGUUCUAGGAAGAAGUACAAGGCUUGUUGUGGGGCUGCAGCAGGAAGAUUGUCUACAAGAAUUGAUAUGAACCAAAAGGUUGUCACAAAUCGGAUGAGGAAAGAGCAGGUCCGGCAUGCAAAGGCAGAACUUGAGUCUGAUGUUCCUUUGCCUGGUUCUGAUCCAGGACAGCUUGAUCUUGGAGCACUUUGCAUCUGAUCAAGUUCCUUUUUUGCUUGUCCAAGCAUUUAAGGAAAUCAUAAUGCAGAAGGAUCUUAAUUAUUUUGGUAUUGAUAUUCUCAUGGAGGGUUUGAGGGAGGUCCAAUAGCGGUUUGUGCUUGACAUUGGCGAAGUACAUUGCUUUAAGGGAGAGAUUCCUGUUCCUUUUUCAAUGAGGGUUUGGAGUUCGAUGGGACCUGAUUCUUCUGCUUGAAUGAGGUAAGCGUCGAUCUCUUCUUGCGUUUGCCGUUUUGAAACACAGUGUCGCCGAUUUGACCUCACCAGCUAUGACUGAGACUUAAAUUUUAGGGGCACCCCCAUUGAGAAUUACUUUUGGAAAAUAUCAGAGGAAUUUGCAAGGUAGAACGAGGAAACAAAAAUUCUUGGACAUGUAUUUCUGUUUUGCAUCAAACACGAUCUCUCUCUCUCUCUCAAACAAAAAUAUCUUGAUUCCCGUGUGUAUUCUGCUCCUGUAACAAUGGGAGAGGAUAUUGUGUCAAGUUGAAAGCAUACUGUCUUCACUCCAGACCUCAUUGCAGCGUAAAGACCGAGGAAAGGGGGAGGCUUCAGCUCUCGCUCAAGUGAGAUUUGGACUGGACUGCCACCUUCCUUCUUUUCCCUUUCCUUUUAACAGUCUGGACAUGCAACAGCCUCGUGUCGCCCUUCCCUUUGAAAAUCUUCAGCCAAACUUGCAGAAAACAGAGCCACGCACACUUACCCUUCGUUCCUCUUCCUUCUCCCAGCCCCCCAUCCGUGAACAGGACGAACGAAUGGCAGGAAGAAAAUGCCAUGCCAUGUUCACAGCACCCGGUGUUCAGUUCCAACUCCCGGCAGAGAAAAGCAGUUCAAGAGUCAAUCUGUUACCGCCCAUAUCCAAACACGGCCUCUUCAUUCACUGAACGCGGCAAUUCAUCCUUCUGCCAGAAAACCAGCUCAUUUUGUUGCCUGUUGCCGCAGGAUUCGGUUUCUGCGGAAUUGCUUAACAAAAUGCCAAACUCCUACAGCUAGCGGACGUUUCCACACCAAGCCAACAUUAGAAUUC